rnacentral:rRNA from 1 species
GACGAACGCUGGCGGCGUGCCUAAUACAUGCAAGUAGAACGGUGACGGAGGAGCUUGCUUCUCUGGCUGAGUUGCGAACGGGUGAGUAACGCGUAGGCAACCUGCCUGGUAGCGGGGGAGAAGUUUUGGAAACGAUAGCUAAUAUAGCACAAGAGUAGAUGUCGGAUGACAUUUGCUUAAAAGGUGGACUUGCAUCACUACCAGAUGGAGCUGUGUUGUAUUAGAUAGUUGGUGAGGUAAGGGCUCACCAAGGCAACGAUACAUAGCCGAGCUGGGAGGGUGGUCGGCCACCCUGGGACUGAGACACGGCCCAGACCCCUACGGGGGGCAGCAGGAGGGAAUCUUCGGCAAUGGACGGAAGUCUGACCGAGCAACGCCGGGUGAGUGAAGAAGGUUUUCGGAUCGUAAAGCUCUGUUGUAAGAGAAGAACGAGUGUGAGAGUGGAAAGUUCACGCUGUGACGGUAUCUAACCAGAAAGGGACGGCUAACUACGUG